rnacentral:lncRNA from 1 species
ACCUGACUGGCUUCUCGCCAGUAUGAAGAGUCUGAUGUAAGUUAAGUUGUAAUCUAUGAUUAAACGCCUUCCCGCAUUGAUAAGGUUUCUUUCCAGAAUGAAUUCUCUGAUGGUGUGAGAAGCUUGAAUGAUAGCUAAAGGCCUUCCCACAUUCCUUACAUUCAUAGGGUUUCUCACCAGUAUGAAUUCUUUGAUGUUGAAUAAGGUGUGAAUGAAGUCUAAAGGCCUUACCACAUAUCAUGCAUUCAUGAGGUUUCUCACCAGUAUGAAUUCUCUGAUGUCUUUUGUGAGUUCUUUUGUGGUGACUAAAAAAUAAAUGGUAACUGAAGAUUUUUCUACACUUUUUACAUUCAGAGAUUUUCUCUCUAUCAUAAAAUUCUUGAGUGAGUAAAGUAUGUUGGCUAAAAAUGGGCAUGUUUUCAUGGUUAAUCAUAAGUUGUCUAAAAUAACCCUCCUCUUGUCCCUGAUGUUGCUCAAAAUGACAGUUGCCUUCCCAGAUAGCGCUGAAAAUUGAUCUCUCAGGACUAUGGCUUUUAAAUUCUUCCAUGUUAACCCACUGGGAUAAUUCUGUUUCAUAAAUAUCCCUUUUUGGAGAUAACUUCUGGGGCUCAUCUCUGGAUGCCAAGUCUGAA